GGCGGCGCGGACGGCCUACGUGGAGGAGGGCUGUGCUCCCACUCCUCCAUCUCCACGAGGCGGCGGUGGCCGUCAGCCACAGCCUUCCACGGUUUAUUUCGUCACUGGCCAAUGUGUUACCUCCUCUUGACAAUACAUCAGAUCCAAAUAGGGAAGCCAAAUGGAAGAGAUCUUGGUCAAAUUUGAAAGCCAUAUAUCAAAGCAUUUUGGGAAAAUGGAACCAGACUCGGGAAGAUGCGUUCCUGGAAUAUGCAUGUCUUUUUGUUAGUUCAUUGAUUUGUUUGAAAAGAAGAUUACGGCGAUAAGAGUAAUAUAGAUUAUCCUUUUGAGACAUUUGUUUGUGCAAAGCAAAUUUCUUGUUUUAGUGUCUUGUUAGGCCCUGCUGUAUUUUUGUGCAAAGUUGUACUUUCUUUUAGGUUUGAUUAGUGAACACAUGCAAAUAUAUAUCAUUCUUACCAGGUUUAGCAUCUGAUUUUUUUAUCCCUUUCAUUGUUUGUAUCAACUGUAUCUGCUCUCAUUUUUGUGUGAUUUAUAUUGUCUAGGUCUGUAGACUCCGCAAUAUCGAGGAGAUGUUUGCCUCUCUGAUCCUUAACGAGAGCAGAUAUGUUUAUCCAUUUUUACACAAAGAUGAGACCAGAUUCUAGGUUUGUAGACCAUGCAAUAUCCUGCUGUAUUUUUGUGCAAAGUUAUACUUCUAUUUAGGUUUGCUUAGUGAACACAUGCAAAUCUAUAUAAUUCUUACCA